rnacentral:lncRNA from 1 species
ACCUUUCUGGACCCCAGCUCCUCUUCCCCUCUCUUGCCCCUUUGCUGGGGCCCCGACACCCUCCCAUCUAAGGCUGUGCCCUGCCCCAGGACUGACCUGUCCUUUGAGAUUAGGAAGCCCUGGCUGAACAGGUCAAGUGGCUCAGGGUCAGCCUACCCUCAGGGAGCAGACUCUACAGGGGCAAGCUGCAGGAACCACCCUGCUCGUGAGUUCAAAGCUCGUCUCACAGCUUACCCUCUCCAAACCUCGGCCUCCUCUCUCCUCAAAUGGGUGCUGUGAAGACUGAAGAAAAUCGUGCCUGGCCACCUGUAAAUGCUUUCCCGGGCCCUCUGAGACCAGAGCCCCUCCAUCGCUCCCUGCCUUGCAAGCCACCCAGCAGUGUGCCGGGCCAUCUCGCCAGCUGGCUGCUGCACAGCCAGGUUCUGCUGGCCGGAGACCACCAGCAGCUUGAAAGCAGCCAGGAUGUGAGUAUUUAGACCAGGGAAAGCAGCAAAGCAGACUUUUAUUUUUGUUUCUUUUUCUUUAUUUUCCCCCUAGGCAGCUGGUUUGCCAGUAUCUCCUCAGUCAUCCCAGAGCCAGAGCCCCACUCGUUGGGCCCAAGUGGCAGCUCUGUGCCCAGGCCCGGCCACCCCCUAGAGAGCCUGUGUCUAGGAGGCAGCUGGCCUGCUGGCCCCUGCACACUGCAGAGCUGGGCACCUCCAGAGCCCAUCCUCCACACUGCCCUGCCUGCACCCACACUGGCGGGCCUCACUUGACCCACACAGGGACUGCAACCAUAAAAGCAGCAGAGCCACUUGCCCCCAACCCCGCCCCGCCGAGCCUGGGGCCUCUCCAGGGUCAGGGCCCACUCCAACAAAGAGCAUUCUCAAAUGCCACCAGGGACACCUUCCAGACAAAGCUGAUCCAGUAGCAUGCUGGCUUUGAAUCCAGGUCAAAUACCCAAGAUGCACCUUUUUUCCUAUUUUGUUUUCUUAUUGUUUAUUUAUUUAUUUUUGAAACAGGGUCUCGCUGUCACCCAAGCUGAAGUGCAGUGGUGUGAUCAGGGCUCACUGCAGCCUCAACCUCCUAGGUUCAAGUGAUCCUCCCACCUCAGCCUCCCAAGUAGCUGGGACUACAGGCCCAUGCACCACCACCACACUGGAUAAUUUUUGUAUUUUCUGUAGAGACAGGGUUUCACCAUGUUGCCCAG